UUGGUACUUGUACCGACUGGAUGAGCAGCGAACGGGUGAGUAACGCGUGGGGAAUCUGCCUUUGAGCGGGGGACAACAUUUGGAAACGAAUGCUAAUACCGCAUAAAAACUUUAAACACAAGUUUUAAGUUUGAAAGAUGCAAUUGCAUCACUCAAAGAUGAUCCCGCGUUGUAUUAGCUAGUUGGUGAGGUAAAGGCUCACCAAGGCGAUGAUACAUAGCCGACCUGAGAGGGUGAUCGGCCACAUUGGGACUGAGACACGGCCCAAACUCCUACGGGAGGCAGCAGUAGGGAAUCUUCGGCAAUGGACGAAAGUCUGACCGAGCAACGCCGCGUGAGUGAAGAAGGUUUUCGGAUCGUAAAACUCUGUUGGUAGAGAAGAACGUUGGUGAGAGUGGAAAGCUCAUCAAGUGACGGUAACUACCCAGAAAGGGACGGCUAACUACGUGCCAGCAGCCGCGGUAAUACGUAGGUCCCGAGCGUUGUCCGGAUUUAUUGGGCGUAAAGCGAGCGCAGGUGGUUUAUUAAGUCUGGUGUAAAAGGCAGUGGCUCAACCAUUGUAUGCAUUGGAAACUGGUAGACUUGAGUGCAGGAGAGGAGAGUGGAACUCCAUGUGUAGCGGU
rnacentral:rRNA from 1 species